UUCAACAACUUCUCUAAGGAAUACACGAAACUGCCAUUGUUAUCAGAUUUUUCCUGGUCAAGCAUACCUACGAUCGUACGGAUAAGUUCCUCUAUGACAACUGUUGUCUCAUACACAACCCCAAUUGCUGACUGAGCAAUUUUCAUCUCUUCAGGUGACAGGUCAUCAUCUUCUCCUUGCAACCCAGCUUCUGUUAUGGGAGGACCACCAUCAGAAGCCUCAUCCAUCAGAAUGGAGGAAGCUGGCUUGAGCUCCUUCAUCUCACAAAGAACUUUCUUCACUGAACCUGCAAAUUGUUUCAUUUCUUUCCCAAUUGCUGUGAUAUUUGUGGCAGGGG
rnacentral:misc_RNA from 1 species